AAAUGGGAAGGAAAAGUUGAGAGAAAGUGAGAGAGGAGAAGAGAGAAUGAGAGUGUGAGGGAUGAGUUGAAUGAUCAGAAAGGGGUGGCUUUUAUAGCUGAUUGUGGCUCCUAAAAAUAGCAAAUUCCAUCAGCCAAAGAGACACCCCUUGGCCGGCCACACACAUGGCAAAGUUGAGAGAUUCAACUUUGCUAAAAAUAGCCUAGGGCAAAUCCAUAAAGCCACAUUUUUUGGAGGGGUUUGAAUGUAAGGUUGAAAGUUCUUCAAGGGCUUCUUUGAAAGCUUAUUUAGU
rnacentral:lncRNA from 1 species